UACGGAAGGCAGCAGGGGGAAUCUUGCGCAAUGGGCGAAAGCCUGACGCAGCCAUGCCGCGUGAAUGAUGAAGGUCUUAGGAUUGUAAAAUUCUUUCACCGGGGACGAUAAUGACGGUACCCGGAGAAGAAGCCCCGGCUAACUUCGUGCCAGCAGCCGCGGUAAUACGAAGGGGCUAGCGUUGCUCGGAAUUACUGGGCGUAAAGGGCGCGUAGGCGGAUCGUUAAGUCAGAGGUGAAAUCCCAGGGCUCAACCCCUGGAACUGCCUUUUGAUACUGGCGAUCUUGAGUAUGAGAGAGGUAUGUGGAACUCCGAGUGUAGAGGUGAAAUUCGUAGAUAUUCAGAAGAACACCAGUGGCGAAGGCGACAUACUGGCUCAUUACUGACGCUGAGGCGCGAAAGCGUGGGGAGCAAACAGGGAUUAGAUACC
rnacentral:rRNA from 1 species